rnacentral:misc_RNA from 1 species
UCUCCGUAGGUGAACCUGCGGAGGGAUCAUUACUGAGUGAGGGCUUCGGUCCGACCUCCAACCCUUUGUGAACCAAACUUGUUGCUUCGGGGGCGACCCUGCCGCUUCGGCGGUGCGGCGCCCCCGGAGGCCAUUAAACACUGCAUCUUUGCGUCGGAGUUUGAAACAAAUCGAACAAAACUUUCAACAACGGAUCUCUUGGUUCCAGCAUCGAUGAAGAACGCAGC